rnacentral:rRNA from 1 species
UACGGAGGGUGCAAGCGUUAUCCGGAUUUACUGGGUUAAAGGGUUCGUAGGUGGCUAACUAAGUCAGACGUGAAAUCCCUCAGCUUAACUGGGGAACUGCGUCUGAAACUGGAUAGCUUGAGUGCAGGAGAGGAACGCGGAAUUCCAGGUGUAGCGGUGAAAUGCGUAGAUAUCUGGAGGAACACCGGGUGGCGAAGGCGGCGUCUGGACUGGCAACUGACACUGAGGAACGAAAGCCAGGGAGCAAACGGG